rnacentral:tmRNA from 1 species
GGGGGUGAAUGGUUUUGACAGGAAUUUUUGUCAAAAAUAGUUCCUUCUUAGUGAUACUAGAGUUUUGUCUGUUUUUAAUCUAGUAUUUCAAAAACCAAAACAGGCUAAUUCGGCAAAGUUUCUGGAUCCGAGUUCAACGCUCGGCACCUCCACAU